GACGAACGCUGGCGGCGUGCCUAAUACAUGCAAGUUGAGCGCUGAGGGUUGGUACUUGUCCCAACUGGAUGAGCAGCGAACGGGUGAGUAACGCGUGGGGAAUCUGCCUUUGAGCGGGGGACAACAUUUGGAAACGAAUGCUAAUACCGCAUAAAAACUUUAAACACAAGUUUUAAGUUUGAAAGAUGCAAUUGCAUCACUCAAAGAUGAUCCCGCGUUGUAUUAGCUAGUUGGUGAGGUAAAGGCUCACCAAGGCGAUGAUACAUAGCCGACCUGAGAGGGGGAUCGGCCACAUUGGGACUGAGACACGGCCCAAACUCCUACGGGAGGCAGCAGUAGGGAAUCUUCGGCAAUGGACGAAAGUCUGACCGAGCAACGCCGCGUGAGUGAAGAAGGUUUUCGGAUCGUAAAACUCUGUUGGUAGAGAAGAACGUUGGUGAGAGUGGAAAGCUCAUCAAGUGACGGUAACUACCCAGAAAGGGACGGCUAACUACGUG
rnacentral:rRNA from 1 species